GCGGUCUAUUGCCAAACACGCAGCCGUCUGGUGUGCAGUUUGUUUACUUGUCUGCGUUUGUGGGUCUUUGGUCGAGACCCUUCCACUCCAGUUUCAUUCAUAUUUCUUUAUCAUAUUUGUCGUUAAUAUUCAUAGGACUGAAGACAUGGUGUACAACCUCCGUCACUCCGUUCCUUUGGAAUAUAUUCAGCGUUAACAUCUAGUGGACUUUGCUGAGUACCUGCGUAGGGUAGAUCUAGAUGACUCGCGUUGACAUGGUUGACUUCUGGCAUGUCUAGCAAACCGGCGAUCGUCUGCUUUUGAUAAAGGUUGUUAACUUGUUGAAUGCCUUGCACACGCUGUUCGACGCCAUCAUUUCCAACUAUGACGUCUACAAGGUUGAAAGCAUCGACGAUGCCUACAUGUUGGUCUCCUGCCUACUGAUCCGUAAUGGCAGCCGUCAUGCUGGUAUGAUCGCCUCCACUGCAUGGCAUCUCCUGGAGGGCGUUGAUAGUUGAUCAUGCCACACAAACAAGAUGAGAAACUCAAACUCCGCAUCGGUAUUCACUCAGGGCAAAGGUGAAAGCCUGACGUACUGGCUCGAGGGACAUGAUCCAAGCUACAAGAUCGACCAAAUCAAGCCACCCAAACAAAACUUGUUAACAACCAGAAUAUUAUCCAAACAUUAUCUGCAACGCAUUUGGAUCAGCAAUUUUUUGUAAAGAGGUGAUGGCAGAUCUACCAGCUCACUUCACAUCAGAGAGCUCUCUUGAGAAGCACUAUAG